rnacentral:rRNA from 1 species
CAGCCGCACUGGGGCUGAGACACGGCCCAGACUCCUACGGGAGGCAGCAGUGGGGAAUAUUGGACAAUGGGCGAAAGCCUGAUCCAGCCAUGCCGCGUGUGUGAAGAAGGCCUUUUGGUUGUAAAGCACUUUAAGUAGGGAGGAAAAGCUAAUGGUUAAUACCCAUUAGCCCUGACGUUACCUACAGAAUAAGCACCGGC